rnacentral:tRNA from 1 species
GUCAGUAUGGCGGAGGCAAACGCAGAAGAGCUAAGAUCUUUUUACGGUAGUGGUAUACCUAUUGAUA